GGUUCGAUGGCGUAGUUGGUUAUCGCAUCUGUCUAACAUAGGGCCCUGGACGUAGCUGUUACACAGAAGGUCCCCAGUUCGAGCCUGGGUCGAAUCA
rnacentral:tRNA from 1 species